AUUGAACGCUGGCGGCAGGCCUAACACAUGCAAGUCGAGCGGAUGAAGGGAGCUUGCUCCUGGAUUCAGCGGCGGACGGGUGAGUAAUGCCUAGGAAUCUGCCUGGUAGUGGGGGAUAACGUCCGGAAACGGGCGCUAAUACCGCAUACGUCCUGAGGGAGAAAGUGGGGGAUCUUCGGACCUCACGCUAUCAGAUGAGCCUAGGUCGGAUUAGCUAGUUGGUGGGGUAAAGGCCUACCAAGGCGACGAUCCGUAACUGGUCUGAGAGGAUGAUCAGUCACACGGGAACUGGAAAACGGUCCAGACUCCUACGGGGGCAGCAGUGGGGAAUAUUGGACAAUGGGCGAAAGCCUGAUCCAGCCAUGCCGCGUGUGUGAAGAAGGUCUUCGGAUUGUAAAGCACUUUAAGUUGGGAGGAAGGGCAGUAAGUUAAUACCUUGCUGUUUUGACGUUACCAACAGAAUAAGCACCGGCUAGCUUCGUG
rnacentral:rRNA from 1 species